CAACUAUAGAAGAAGAUGAUGAUGUUGAUGAUGACCUUGAUGAAGAUGAGAUUUAGGAUGAUUCCAUAUCUACUACUCAAUGGAUGUGAAACGUCUUUUUUGGAUGUCAAAUGUCUUUUUUGGAUAUUAUAAGCUCUGAUUUACUAUAUAUAUAUAUAUAUAUGCAACUUUGACAAUAAUAUUGCAGUAUCAUAUUUUGUAGCAUGCACAUGUACGCUUCCCGUGAAAACUUAUUUAGUUUUUUUGUGUGCUUAUAUAUUUUUAAUAUGUUUUGAUCUAUUCUUGGCACAUUAUUUUUUAUUUCUUUUUAUUGAUUUUUCUUGGAUUGUGCACUGCCUUUUUUAAACAAUUUGAUUGCAUUCUCUUUAAUGAAUUCUCAUUUUUUUGUUUUUUUUUCCAGGAAGGAUAAAUAAUAAGUUGACAAUGAAAUGAACGGUUAGUGAAGUGGAAAAAGUGAGUGAACAAAAUACUAAAGCUUCAACUUCAAAAUCAUCCCAACCACCGUCGAAGAAGAGACGGGGCCCGACACGAUGCAAGAAUGUCGUAAACGCGACAACCUUAUUAGCAUUAAGGGUUAAUAAGUUUGGACAGUCGAUCGGCCCUGGAAGUGGUACAUAUACUAAUUAUUUGGGAACACUUGCCCGGAAAGCUAAUUUAUCUCCUUUGUGCUACAAAACUUGGUGGGAGAUGCCUAAACGGCUGAAGGAGGAUAUGUCGAACGUUGUAAAUGGAAAGUAUGAUGUGGGAAUCAUGUCAAAACAUUGGACAAUAUCCUCCAUCGGAAAAAAAAUGGAGGGGGUACAAGUGUGAAUUAAAAAGUGAAUAUUACUUGGUUAGGGAUACAGAUGCAGAAAGAUUGGCAAACCCACCACCUGAUGUUGAAAAGGAGCAUUGGGAAUUUUUGGUUAGGCAUUGCGGUACGCCUAUGGCAAAGGAGGUCAGUAAAAAAACACAAAAAACAUCAUGGGAAGCAGACAAUGAUGCAUACUACAGGGAUAAAAAGCUUUGCACGUGUUUCUGCCGAGAUUGAGGAAGAUGAAGGUAUUCAACUUUCUCGUGCAGAUUUAUUCAUUCGCAAACAUGUAAAUAAGGAUGGCAAAACUACUGAUGCUGCUGCUUCGGAGAUGAUUGUAAGUUUUCAUGCUUCCAUUUGUAAAAAGGGGGUUACGUGCCUUGAAGUGGCCAAUUUUUAAACUCUUUGCGGUGUAUUAGGGGGUCACAUGCCUUGAAGUGACCAAUUUUUAAGUCAUCGGCCCGUGUGGAGGCAUUUUAAUUUCAUUGUUUUUCAUCGGCCCGUGUGGAGGCAAUUUACUUUCUUGUAUUUGUUGAAAAGCAUGGGAGUAUGGGAUCAUUGUAUAUGGAGGCUUCUUGUUGAUUGAUUUGUGUUGUGGAGAAGUAUUUACUAUUUGUUGUUUGUGUCAAUGUGUCAAUCAUAUUCUCCCCAAUAUGUAUUUAAUUUCCAUUAACACUUGUACUCUAUUUGUUCUCUCAUCUUUUCUCUGUUUCUAAGUUUUAUUGCUUCAUCCUUGUUUUACACCUAGUAAUUCUUGGGAAAUUAUGGACACAAUGUGCCCAGAAUUUUGAUCUCACAUAAAAAUGAUCACAUCUCAUAUGUUACUUAGGUUACACUAACACACAGAUUGUAUAAGUUUUAGGUCUUAUAGUCACAGAUAAAGAGUAAAAAAUAGAGAAAAAAAAAACCAAUAUACUUGAUACUUAAUGACAAUAUAUAGUGUACAACUCAUGGUAUCAUCUCUUUCUUGCCUCAAACUUGAAAGAUAGUUCAGCUGAUAAUAUCAACUUUUCAUCAAUGAAAUGAUAUUAAAAUUUUCCGCAUAUGUUGCACCUCUCUUUUCACAAAAAUUGUUGGUUAGGGACCUAGGGUUAAACAUACUCCAUUUCUAUAUCCUGAGAUUGACUGUAUGGUGAAAAAAAAAACACGGGAACAAAAUUUGUCAACUUACAAAACAAAAAUUGUUCAAUAAAAAAACUGUGAGCAGAAACUAUUUUCCCAGUGAUCAUAAAAAAUAUCCCUCUAGACUAGCCAGUCCAAUUGCACUUGAAAGAUUGGUCUCUGCAGGAGGUUUAGGCUGUUGUAAGGCCAAAAAUGCAUUGAUAGUGCAAUCUCAUCGACAAAAAUACCAAGCUUCAAAC